rnacentral:rRNA from 1 species
CACUUGUUCGUCGGACAUCCUUCAGGAGAACCGCUCUGCCAUUCACUUGGUUGGGGCGAGGAUCCUGAUCGUUUACUUCAAAAAAAUUAAAGUGUUUAACGCAGGCUUCAUUGUCGCGAAUAGAUUAGCAUGGAAUAAUAAGAUAGGACUUCGGCACCGCUGGUGGCUGCCGGUUGUGGCGUGGCCUUGUGUUGCGUCUGCGGCCGGAGCAACAGUUGCUGGUUUUCUAUUUUGUUGGUUUCUAGAGCUGAAGUAAUGAUUGAUAGGGAUAGUUGGGGGUGCUUGUAUUGCGGGGCCAGAGGUGAAAUUCUCGGAUUCUCGUAAGACAAACUUCUGCGAAAGCAUUCACCAAGGAUGUCUUCUUUAAUCAAAAACGAAAGUUGGGGGAUCGAAGACGAUCAGAUACCGCCGUAGUCUCAACCAUAAACUAUACCGACUCGGGAUUGGGCGUCGUUGACAAAUUGGACUCGCUCAGCACCGUAUUUGAGAAAUCACAAGUCCUUGGGUUCUGGGGGGAGUAUGGUCGCAAGGCUGAAACUUAAAGGAAUUGACGGAAAGGCACCACCAGGCGUG